GCCAGACUCCUACGGGAGGCAGCAGUGGGGGAUAUUGCACAAUGGGGGGAACCCUGAUGCAGCGACGCCGCGUGGGCGAUGGAGCGCCUCGGCGCGUAAAGCCCUAUCAGCAGGGAAGAAGAUGACGGUACCUGACUAAGAAGCCCCGGCUAAAUACGUGCCAGCAGCCGCGGUAAUACGUAUGGGGCAAGCGUUAUCCGGAUUCACUGGGUGUAAAGGGAGCGUAGACGGCGGCGCAAGUCUGGAGUGAAAGCCCGGGGCCCAACCCCGGGACUGCUCUGGAAACUGCGGCGCUGGAGUACGGGAGGGGCAGGCGGAAUUCCUGGUGUAGCGGUGAAAUGCGUAGAUAUCAGGAGGAACACCGGCGGCGAAGGCGGCCUGCUGGACCGUGACUGACGUUGAGGCUCGAGAGCGUGGGGAGCAAACAGGAUUAGAUACCCUCGUACCA
rnacentral:rRNA from 1 species